rnacentral:rRNA from 1 species
CAGCAGCCGCGGGAAUACGAGGGGGGCAAGCGUUGUUCGGAAUUAUUGGGCGUAAAGAGCUCGUAGGCGGUUUGUCGCGUCUGCUGUGAAAUCUGGGGGCUCAACCCCCAGCCUGCAGUGGGUACGGGCAGACUAGAGUGCGGUAGGGGAGAUUGGAAUUCCUGGUGUAGCGGUGGAAUGCGCAGAUAUCAGGAGGAACACCGAUGGCGAAGGCAGAUCUCUGGGCCGUAACUGACGCUAAGGAGCGAAAGCAUGGGGAGCGAACAGGAUUAGAUACCCGCGUAGUCCCUGUCUCUUAUAC